rnacentral:rRNA from 1 species
AGUGAACGCUGGCGGUAGGCCCAACACAUGCAAGUCGAACGGCAGCACAGAGGAGCUUGCUCCUUGGGUGGCGAGUGGCGGACGGGUGAGGAAUACAUCGGAAUCUACUCUGUCGUGGGGGAUAACGUAGGGAAACUUACGCUAAUACCGCAUACGACCUACGGGUGAAAGCAGGGGAUCUUCGGACCUUGCGCGAUUGAAUGAGCCGAUGUCGGAUUAGCUAGUUGGCGGGGUAAAGGCCCACCAAGGCGACGAUCCGUAGCUGGUCUGAGAGGAUGAUCAGCCACACUGGAACUGAGACACGGUCCAGACUCCUACGGGAGGCAGCAGUGGGGAAUAUUGGACAAUGGGCGCAAGCCUGAUCCAGCCAUACCGCGUGGGUGAAGAAGGCCUUCGGGUUGUAAAGCCCUUUUGUUGGGAAAGAAAUCCAGCCGGCUAAUACCUGGUUGGGAUGACGGUACCCAAAGAAUAAGCACCGGCUAACUUCGUGCCAGCAGCCGCGGUAAUACGAAGGGUGCAAGCGUUACUCGGAAUUACUGGGCGUAAAGCGUGCGUAGGUGGUUAUUUAAGUCCGUUGUGAAAGCCCUGGGCUCAACCUGGGAACUGCAGUGGAUACUGGAUGACUAGAAUGUGGUAGGGGGUAGCGGAAUUCCUGGUGUAGCAGUGAAAUGCGUAGAGAUCAGGAGGAACAUCCAUGGCGAAGGCAGCUACCUGGACCAACAUUGACACUGAGGCACGAAAGCGUGGGGAGCAAACAGG